UAGGGAAUCUUCCGCAAUGGACGCAAGUCUGACGGAGCAACGCCGCGUGAGUGAAGAAGGAUUUCGGUUCGUAAAACUCUGUUGUUAGAGAAGAACAGCGCAUAGAGUAACUGUUAUGCGUGUGACGGUAUCUAACCAGAAAGCCACGGCUAACUACGUGCCAGCAGCCGCGGUAAUACGUAGGUGGCAAGCGUUGUCCGGAUUUAUUGGGCGUAAAGCGAGCGCAGGCGGUCAAUUAAGUCUGAUGUGAAAGCCCCCGGCUCAACCGGGGAGGGUCAUUGGACACUGGUUGACUUGAGUGCAGAAGAGGAGAGUGGAAUUCCAUGUGUAGCGGUGAAGUGCGUAGAUAUAUGGAGGAACCCCAGUGGCGAAGGCGACUCUCUGGUCUGUAACUGACGCUGAGGUUCGAAAGCGUGGGUAGCAAACAGG
rnacentral:rRNA from 1 species